CUAUGUUCACCAACCGUGGAUUGUUCUCAUCCAACCAUAAAGAUAUCGGGACAUUAUACCUGCUAUUCGGUGCAUGAGCAGGGAUAGUGGGUACAGCCUUAAGCCUCCUUAUUCGAGUGGAACUGGGCCAACCAGGUACUCUACUAGGAAAUGAUCAAAUUUACAAUGUCAUUGUUACCGGUCAUGCAUUUGUCAUAAUUUUCUUUACAGGAAUAUCAAUUAUAAUUGGAGGUUUCGGCAACUGGUUAAUCCCUCUGAUAACUGGCGCCCCCGACAUAGCAUUUUCCCGGAUAAAUAAUAUGAGUUUCUGACCCCUCUCACCCUCUUUCCUACUAUUACUUGCAUCCACUGUAGUAGAGGCCGGCGCUGGAACCGGCUGAACAGUCUAACCCCUCCUUAGUAGGAAACCUAACACAUGCGGGAGCCUCUGUAGAUUUACCCAUCUUCUCACUCCAUUUGGCAGGUGUCUCUUCUAUUUUAGGGGCCAUUAACUUUAUCACCACAAUUAUUAACAUAAAACUUCCAGCUACGUGCCAAUGUCACACACCCCUUUUCGUCUGAUUAGUCCUAAUUACAGCAGUUCUCCUACUCCUUUCUCUCCCAGUCCUAGCUGCCGGCAUUAUAAUACUGUUAACUGACCACAAUCUUAAUACUACUUUUAUCGACCCAGCUGGUGGAGGUGAAUCCUAUCGUAUAUCAGCACUUAUUCUGAUUCUCUGGUCACCCCGAAGUCUGUAUCUUCAUCCUACCAGGCUUCAGGAUAAUUUCCCAUAUCACAACAUACUACUCUGGAAAAAAAGAGCCAUUUGGGUACAUGGGCAUAGUGUGAGCCAUAAUAUCAAUUGGCUUCUUAGGGUUUAUUGUAUGGGCUCACCACAUAUUUACAGUAGGAACAUAUGUAGAUACAUGAGCAUACUUCACCUCAGCUACUAUAAUUAUUGCUAUUCCUACUGGUGUCAAAGUCUAGCUGAUCGGCUACACUACAAGGCAGUAACAUUAAAUAAUCUCCCACAAUACUCUAAGCCCUGGGAUUUAUUUUCCUUUUUACAGUAGGAGGUCUAACCGGCAUUGUACUAGCCAAUUCAACACUAGAUACUGUUUUACAUGACACAUAUUAUGUUGUAGCCCAUUUCCAUUAAGUCUUAUCAAUAGGAGCCGUAUUUGCUAUUAUAGGAGGCUUUGUCCACUGAUUCCCCCUUUUUUCAGGUUAUACGCUUAAUCAAAUCUAUGUUAAAACUGACUUUGCCAUCAUAUUUAGAGGUGCCAAUUUAACUUUUUUCCCCCGCAGCAUUUCCUCGGCCUAUCCGGUAUGCCUCGAUGUUACUCCAAUUAUCCCGAUGUAUACACCACAUGAAAUAUUAUUUCAUCCAGAGGCUCAUUUAUUUCCCUAACAGCAGUAAUGCUAAUAAUUUUCAUGAUCUGAGAAGCCUUUGCUUCAAAACGAAAAGUUCUAACAAUUGCACAACCAUCUACCAACUUAGAAUGACUGUAUGGCUGUCCACCACCCUAUCACACAUUCGAAGAACCAACCUACAUGAAGACCUAAGUGAAAAAGGAAGGAAUAGAACCUCCACAGACUGUUUCAAGCCAAUCCCAUAACCUCUACAAGUUUCUCGAUAAGAUAUUAGUAAAAUUAUUUCAUAACUUUGUCAAAGUUAAGUUAUAGGUUAAGCCCUAUAUAUCUUAAUGGCCCAUCCAGUUCAAUUAGGUCUUCAAGACGCUUCAUCCCCUACUAUAGAAGAACUACUUACCUUCCAUGACCACACUCUUAUAAUUAUUUUCCUAAUUAGUUCCCUGGUUCUAUACAUUAUUUCUCUAACACAACAAAACUAAUUCAUACUAGCACCACAGAUGCCCACGAAUUAAAGACUGUCUGAACUAUCUUGCCUGCCAUCAGCUUAAUCUUAAUUGCCCUCCCAUCCAUACACAGCCUGUAUAUAACAGAUGAAAUCAAUAACCCCUCUCUCACUGUUAAAACAAUUGGACAUCAAUGGUAUUGAAGCUACGAGUACACAGAUUCUGAAGAAUUAAGCUUCGAUUCUUAUGCUUCCGACAGCCGACUUAAAACGAGGAGAACUUCGACUCCUGGAAGUCAAUAACUGAACAGUCAUCCCAAGAGAAAUUCCCAUCUGCAUGUUAAUCGCACCCAAAGCUCUCCUGCACUCAUGAACUACUUCCUCACUACGGUUAAAAACAGAUGCAAUCCCUGGAUGCUUAAACAUUGUCUACUAUGGACAAUGUGCAGAAAU
rnacentral:lncRNA from 1 species